rnacentral:rRNA from 1 species
CCCAAAAAUUUGGGAGGUCUAGGAUUCAGGGACAUGGAAAUGUUCAACUUGUCUCUCCUGGCAAGGCAGGCAUGUAGGCUCCUCCAAGGUCCAAGUACUCUUAGUGCAAGAUUAUUAAAGGUUGCAUACUACCCUAAUGGAUCAAUUUUGGAAGCAGAGCUAGGACCCCAUCCUUCACAGAUUUGGCGCGCUAUACUGGAUGGC